rnacentral:rRNA from 1 species
GACGAACGCUGGCGGCGUGCUUAACACAUGCAAGUCGAACGGAAAGGCCCUGCUUUUGUGGGGUGCUCGAGUGGCGAACGGGUGAGUAACACGUGAGUAACCUGCCCUUGACUUUGGGAUAACUUCAGGAAACUGGGGCUAAUACCGGAUAGGAGCUCCUGCUGCAUGGUGGGGGUUGGAAAGUUUCGGCGGUUGGGGAUGGACUCGCGGCUUAUCAGCUUGUUGGUGGGGUAGUGGCUUACCAAGGCUUUGACGGGUAGCCGGCCUGAGAGGGUGACCGGCCACAUUGGGACUGAGGUACGGCCCAGACUCCUACGGGAGGCAGCAGUGGGGAAUAAUGCACAAUGGGCGGAAGCCUUAUGCAGCAACGCCGGGUGCGGGAUGACGGCCUUCGGGUUGUAAACCGCUUUCGCCUGUGACGAAGCGUGAGUGACGGUAAUGGGUAAAGAAGCACCGGCUAACUACGUG